GGAGGCGAAUCUGGUCUGGUGACUGGCGCGGACUUCAAAUCCGUUGGGCCGGGGCGAGAGCAUCGGUCGGUCGGGUUCGAUUCCCACACGCCUCCGCCA
rnacentral:tRNA from 1 species